rnacentral:rRNA from 1 species
GGAGGAAAGUAGGGGAUCGAAAGACCUUGCGCUAAAGGAGCGGCCGAUGUCUGAUUAGCUAGUUGGUGGGGAAAGGCUUACCAAGGCAACGAUUAGUAGUUGGUCUGAGAGGACGACCAACCACACUGGGACUGAGACACGGCCCAGACUCUACGGGAGGCAGCAGUGGGGAAUUUUGGACAAUGGGCGAAAGCCUGAUCCAGCCAUGCCGCGUGAGUGAAGAAGGCUUCGGGUUAAAGCUCUUUUAGUCGGAAAGAAAGAAUUAUGACGAAUAAUCAUGAUUUAUGACGGUACCGACAGAAAAAGCACCGGCUAACUACGUGCCAGCAGCCGCGGUAAUACGUAGGGUGCGAGCGUUAAUCGGAAUUACUGGGCGUAAAGGGUGCGCAGGCGGUUUUGUAAGUCAGAUGUGAAAGCCCCGGGCUUAACCUGGGAAUUGCGUUUGAAACUGCAAGGCUAGAGUGCAGCAGAGGGGAGUGGAAUUCCAUGUGUAGCAGUGAAAUGCGUAGAGAUGUGGAAGAACACCGAUGGCGAAGGCAGCUCCCUGGG